rnacentral:rRNA from 1 species
GAUGAACGCUAGCGGCAGGCCUAAUACAUGCAAGUUGAACGAACCCUUCGGGGUUAGUGGCGCACGGGUGCGUAACGCGUGGGGAUCUGCCCUUUGCUUCGGAAUAACAGUUAGAAAUGACUGCUAAUACCGGAUGAUGUCGAAAGACCAAAGAUUUAUCGGCAAAGGAUGAACCCGCGUAGGAUUAGCUAGUUGGUGGGGUAAAGGCCUACCAAGGCGACGAUCCUUAGCUGGUCUGAGAGGAUGAUCAGCCACACUGGGACUGAGACACGGCCCAGACUCCUACGGGAGGCAGCAGUGGGGAAUAUUGGACAAUGGGCGAAAGCCUGAUCCAGCAAUGCCGCGUGAGUGAUGAAGGCCUUAGGGUUGUAAAGCUCUUUUACCAGGGAUGAUAAUGACAGUACCUGGAGAAUAAGCUCCGGCUAACUCCGUGCCAGCCGCCGCCGUAACAC